rnacentral:rRNA from 1 species
UACGGAGGGUGCAAGCGUUAUCCGGAUUCACUGGGUUUAAAGGGUGCGUAGGCGGGUUGGUAAGUCCGUGGUGAAAUCUCCAAGCUUAACUUGGAAACUGCCGUGGAUACUAUCAAUCUUGAAUAUAGUGGAGGUGAGCGGAAUAUGUCAUGUAGCGGUGAAAUGCUUAGAUAUGACAUAGAACACCCAUUGCGAAGGCAGCUCGCUACACUAUUAUUGACGCUGAGGCACGAAAGCGUGGGAUCAAACAGG